CCCUCUCACGUUUUUGAGGUCCCUCUCUCUCUAAACCUAAUUCACCGUCGACGUCACCAACAGUGCAGGGAGUCACCGUCGUCGUCGUCCACACCCAGAACCGCCGCUGCCGUCGCCAGUUAUCAUCAACAUUUGAGGGUCAGGAUUGAUAAAGAAGAAAGGUUUUAAAGGAUCCUUUGGGGAAGCAGCAAUUUCGGCAAAGCUGCAUCAUUCAAGCCAUGGUGAUGCUUAUGUGUACUCGACUUUGCACUACUCUUUGCCUCCUGUAUUUGCACUAUUGUUUUGCUGCCACUGAUAUGGAUCUUUGGUGUUGCCUAGCACUUUCCCACUUUAUGGCAGGUGAAAAGAGGGGUAAGAAAACAAAGAAGGCUAAGGAGACGGGGGUUCCCCGGAGACCACCAGAAAACCUUGCGAUUAGAGAUAGAAGCCCGUCGCCACGUCUCCCACCACGCGGCGCAUCGUUGUUUAAUUAAUGUUGUUUGAAGCUAUCCAUUUUCUAUUUAUUUAAUGUUGUUUUGAUGUUUGCGAAGGUUGAAAUAACUUAAUUAAUGCUCUUGUGAAUGUUUGAUUGACGUUUUUAUUCAACUUUGAAGUAGUUUCGAAUUGAAUUUGAUGUUUUGGUGGUUGUAAUAUAUGUGUUGUAAUAGUAGCUUAUUGUUUUA